AAUGAACGCUGGCGGCAGGCCUAACACAUGCAAGUCGAACGGAUCCUUCGGGAUUAGUGGCGGACGGGUGAGUAACGCGUGGGAACAUACCCUUUGGUACGGAAUAGCCUCGGGAAACUGGGAGUAAUACCGUAUGUGGUCGAGAGACGAAAGAUUUAUCGCCAAAGGAUUGGCCCGCGUUGGAUUAGGUAGUUGGGGGGUAAUGGCCUACCAAGCCGACGAUCCAUAGCUGGUUUGAGAGGAUGAUCAGCCACACUGGGACUGAGACACGGCCCAGACUCCUACGGGAGGCAGCAGUGGGGAAUCUUAGACAAUGGGGGAAACCCUGAUCUAGCCAUGCCGCGUGAUUGAUGAAGGCCUUAGGGUUGUAAAGAUCUUUCAGGUGGGAAGAUAAUGACUGUACCACCAGAAGAAGCCCCGGCUAACUCCGUGCCAGCAGCCGCCGUAA
rnacentral:rRNA from 1 species